GCCUUGCGACCAUCCUUACGUCAUUACUUUGCGUCUUUACGCGAGAAACAAACAUCCGUUUUGUUCACAAAUGACUAAAUGUUAACGUGAAACAUGGAACCUUUAAAACAAUACGCGAAAUCUAAAGGGCGGAUUAAAGGAAAAUACUUAAAUAACAAAUGUGCACAUGGCGGUUUAACACACAACGACAAAAAGAAAAGAAAAUGGGUUCCAGAGAACAAAGUUUUUGAUGGUAGUUUAAAAGAAGGUCAGGGAUUUGCCUUCAAAAGGAAGAAGAAGAUAAAACAUGAAUAUAACAAACUUCUCUGAAAAGAGGAAGAAAAUGCAACCAUCAUCAAUCCAGUUAGAGGAGGAAUAUCCCGAAAUGUGGCUUAGUACACACACACACACACACACACACACACACACACACUAAGCCACAUUUCUGAUUUGUGUCAUCAGCUCCCAUAAGACUCCAUUCAUCCAAAGGAAGCAGAAAAUGUCAUCGUAUCAGAAGACAAAGCAAGAAUAUGAAAGGAUAAAGGAGGAACGUGCAAGAAAACAAGAGGAAUUCUUGAAAGACAAAGCUCAGUGAGAGGAGGCGCUGAAAAUAUAUAAGGAGAAGAAAAUGGCCACAUAUCAGUUGUUGAAGAGAAGAACUAAGAAAGGUCAGCUCAACCUCAAUCUGCAUAUGGAGCUAUUGCUGCAAAAUAUUCAAGCUCAGCACAAAUAAUUCAGUAUCAACCAUAAAAUGAGACUGUUUAGAGUUAAAAUAGACCAUCACACAAUAAAC